rnacentral:lncRNA from 1 species
GCCUGGGCAUGGCAUUGUAUUCUAUUGCUCAUCAAUGUUCAUUUCCUUUUCUCUUGAAAGCUUCUGACUCUCUAAAGCCAAAUUAAUAUAUACACGCUUACAAAUCUAGCUAAUGGUUAACUGAUCAACAGCGUUCCCGGAAUGAAUCAGUUUACCUGCUUGGCUUAGUAAUUCAAGCAUCAUCAACAAGUGAGGAACGAACCUUCUUGUGAUACUCUGAGGGAAAAGAGUAGAAACCCUAGCUUGGUUGAAUAUUAUUACAUUCAGAGGAAAGCAUACAUAGACUAGCAAAAGAUUAUGAAAGCUGAAACAUAGUCACAGCUCAAACUCUCUCAGACAGAACAGAAGUUCCUUCAUCUCUUUCAGAUUCUUCUCCAAUUUCUUUCCGCUGCUUCCAUCCUUUCUUUCGUCAUGUUCAGGUACGUACCCAAAAAGAUGGUGUUUGGCGUUUCUACAUCUACCGGCAAUGGAGGGUACAUGGCGACUCCUGAACAGAAGACCAAAACAAAAAAGAAUUGAACCAAACUUGCUUGUUCUUAAAAAAAAAUGUAAUAGUGAGAGAAGAACCAAUUCAUACCAGCCUUGAAUCCAACGAACGCUAAUGUCCCUUUAACAACAAGUGCCCUCAACGUCAUCAUCUUCUUCGAUUCCGGAUUUUGAGAUUUGCCAAUUAGGGUUAAGUGCCACCGCUGCUUCUGUGUAAGUAAUAGCAAACCUACACAUGUCAAUUAGGGCCGAAGCCCGCAGCCCGAGC